rnacentral:rRNA from 1 species
AGUGAACGCUGGCGGUAGGCCUAACACAUGCAAGUCGAACGGCAGCACAGUAAGAGCUUGCUCUUACGGGUGGCGAGUGGCGGACGGGUGAGGAAUACAUCGGAAUCUACUUUUUCGUGGGGGAUAACGUAGGGAAACUUACGCUAAUACCGCAUACGACCUACGGGUGAAAGCAGGGGAUCUUCGGACCUUGCGCGAUUGAAUGAGCCGAUGUCGGAUUAGCUAGUUGGCGGGGUAAAGGCCCACCAAGGCGACGAUCCGUAGCUGGUCUGAGAGGAUGAUCGGCCACACUGGAGCUGAGACACGGUCCAGACUCCUACGGGAGGCAGCAGUGGGGAAUAUUGGACAAUGGGCGCAAGCCUGAUCCAGCCAUACCGCGUGGGUGAAGAAGGCCUUCGGGUUGUAAAGCCCUUUUGUUGGGAAAGAAAAGCAGCAGGUUAAUACCCCGCUGUUCUGACGGUACCCAAAGAAUAAGCACCGGCUAACUUCGUG